UAUGACUUGCAUUGCCACGACGGAAGACACUAGGGACAGCAAUUGACAAUCAACCGCAAAGAUGUAAAAUAUUAAGGUAGGUAGAGUAAAAAAGCAUUACCAACUGUAUCUGGUGUGCUUUACAUAUAAUUAUGCACAGAUAAAAUGAACAUUGUAGACAAUUGCAGCGAAUACGAGCGACAAUUUUUUUUUUCAGCUAGUAAGAUAACAGAAUAUCAAGGUAAGUCGGGCUAAAAAGCAUUUACAAACUGUAUGUAUAUAUGGUGUGCUUUAGCUUUAUUCACAGACUGAAAGAACUCUAAAUCCUGAAAAGUAGACAAUUGCAGCAAAAGAACUACAAGUACAGGAAGAAGAGUUAAGAUUGAAAGAACUCCAAACCAGAAAAAAAUCAUGGUGGCAAAUGCAGCAAGACGGGAGAAAAAGAGUUAAGCUUUAUUCAAAGACUGAAAGGGCUCGCAAGCACGAAAAAGUAGACAAUUGCAGCAAUAGAGCUACAAGUACAGAAAGAGAAUAGUUAAGAUUGAACGAACUCUAAACCAGACAAAGAACAUGACGCAUUUCGGCAAGUCUAGCAAGCUAUAACACGUACUGGUACAAGUUGAAGAGAGUUAAGAGUGGGUCGUUUCCAAGUGUUUUCAGGGAAUGGGCUGGCACGGUGAUCCUGUGAAUUAUGUUUCCACGGGGUCGACAAAUUAUUUUCAGCUGGUCAGAUAAUAGAAUAUCAAGGUAAGUCGGGCUCAAAAGCAUUUACAAACUGUAUGUAUAUAUGGUGUACUUUAGCUUUAUUCACAGACUGAAAGGACUCCCAAGCCUGAAAAAGUAGACAAAUGCAGCAAUAGAGCUACAAGUACAGGAAGAAGGGAUUGAAAGAACGGCAAACCAAAAAAAAAAUCAAAAAAAUCACAGACAAUUACAAGUUAAGAUUUAAGUGAAUGUAUACCGUACACAGAUGCAGUUGGCAUUGUGGCGUUAGAUCCGACUCGGGCAGGAAUUCGUAGUCCAACCAGCCUCAAAGAAAGAUUUUGCAAGUUCACUGGAGAUGUAGCUAACAGCAGAAAUACUAUUAUACAAUAUAUAUAAUAUUUUCCUUGUAAAUUUAUACCUCGUCAGUUACAAAUAUAUAAUUUAUAAAAUAAAUAUAAAACGAUAUAUAAUUAAAAAUAAUAAUUCAUUCAUUCAUUCAUUCAUAAAAAUUGCACUCAUUCUUUUUCUAACUACUGUAAAUGGUAUCUUCCUCUUUGUAAGGUGUCCCUUAGUGGUUUUUUAGGCAUCCGGUUAGCGUAGGUGGUUAGCGUAGGUGGUGAUAGAAGGUAAUUAAGGUACAUAAGUAAUUAGGGUAAAUAAGAGGAAUGAUACCAUUUAUACUGCUUCAAUUUCAUUGUCUUCCAUUGACACUUCAUAUUUCGUCGUUUCCCUAAUCUGUUUCUUAAAGGUACCUUUCUCUAUCGCAGGUAUGUAGAGUAAGUAUAGGUAGGUUAUCUAAAUAUAGCAUUAGGAACAGAGAAAUGAUACCUUCCUACUUUCCUUCUUUUCCUUCAUACAUAUAUUCAUUUUUGUUUUUGUCAUUUUCAUGUAAAAUUAAUAUUAAAUGGCAAUUAAUAAUAGUUAUAAUAAUAAUUUAACUGAUGAUAAUAAUUCAACUGUUGAGGUAUUUCUGUUAUAUGCAUGUUGUUAUUGGUCUACAAUGAGUUUAAUUGCAUAAACACAUGUGGUUAAGCUCGUGGGGCAGUGACGAGGGUAAGAAUUCAGAUCUUUCCUUACUGGAGCUAAUCUCCUGUUACUGUCGUGUGGUUUUCCCCGAGUUCUUCGGUUUCCUCCACACAAAAUUACUUCUCUAUUCGGUCAUUUUUUUUUUUUUUGGCAGUGAUUAAAAUAAAAUAUGCACAUUCGUGUC